rnacentral:misc_RNA from 1 species
UGGCUCCGGCAACGAUGAAGAACGCAGCGAAAUGCGAUAAGUAAUGUGAAUUGCAGAAUUUUGUGAAUCAUCGAAUCUUUGAACGCACAUUGCGCCCUCUGGUAUUCCGGGGGGCACGCCUGUUCGAGCGUCAUUGAAUCAAUCAAGCCCUGCUUGGUAUUGGGCGCCUCCGCCGCGGGAGGUCCCGAAAUGCAGCGGCUCGGUCGCCCGGGGAAGAACGCAGUGGAGUCUUGCGACUAUCGUUCUCGUCCUCCGGGCGGUCGACGCCGUCGAAGCGUGGCCGCCGGUCACAACUGAAAAAUUGACCUCGGAUCAGGUGGGAAUACCCGCUGA